rnacentral:lncRNA from 1 species
UUUGACGUAGGUAUCGAAACAGAAAAACACUAAAAAGUGGAUGCUCCUGAGAUAAAACGCAAAGCUUUUAUACAAACCAAAUUCAGCUGAUCGUUAAAUCCUCAACUGGAGAUAAAAAUUAAACACAAAGGAUUUUCAGUUACCUAGAUUCGAUGGUCAUUUAGAUAUCUUACUUUGUCGUGCCACUAAUUUCUUUCGAAUGAAGGCACGAGUUAUCUUUUCAAGUGAUGAUAGAUAAACUAGCUGAGACGCAAAUUGAUAUCACUGCAAUUAUCGAUGGUCACCAGGUAUAAAAAGGGGCAGAGGCAAAAUCAUCGCCACCCGCUUUUAAUUGUGAUUUAAACAAAGAUCAGUGCCAACUCAAACACAAACACAACCAUGAAAUUCAUCGUUGCUCUUCUUUUCGCCAUGGUAGCCAUCAGCGCCGUCUUUGCCCAGCAAGGCACCGAGCAAGGCCGAGACAAGCGGGCCAUCCUUUACGGUGGAUACCCCUACGCAUACGCCCCAGCAGCCUACGGAGCUUACGGCUACGGUUAUGCUCCAGCAGCAUAUGGAAGCUACUACUGGUGAAAACUUCGAUUACAUCAGGCUGUCCUCCUUAUGAUAAUCUACUUGCUACUUUAAUUUAAAAGAAAUUCCGUUUAAAAAACAUACCGGUCUGACGCGUUUCGGUCUCGCGACGAGAUCAAAACGCGCCCGACCGGUAUAAAAAACGUGCAAGUGACUUUCUUUUAAAUUAAAUUACAAGUUCUUGUGCGACCCGAACAUUAAAGUCAAAUCUACUUGCUCACUCCAUUUAAUUUUCACCACAUUGUAAAACUACUGAAUAUUUUUGAUGAUUAUACAUUUUCAUGACAGCAAUAUUUUUAUUUUCCAAAUUUUCUGUUUUCAUCUUGUUCCUUAAUUAUUAACUUCUAGCAACUUCAAAGAUUUGAAAAAAUACACCUGCAAAACAACACAGAAAAUGUGUCAUUCAAUAAUAAUUUUUCUAGUUUCAGGAAGCUCUUCCAAAUUUCUUCCAAAUUUUUCUUGUGCAGUUUUGUUGUUAGGCAAAAUGUUUCUACGGAUGUGGGUGUUUCCUUGGAAAUUUUAAAUUCACCUAGUGCGACAGAAAAAAAACAGAGGUCAUCGAGCUCCACUGUCUAAUUUGAUCCCUAUUAAAAAGAUCAAACUAGGAAUCGUGGUACUACGCAUUUUAUUACAAUCAUUUACUUCCAUAGAUGGGUGCAGCAAUGGAUAUAGCAGAAAGCCUUUUCAGUUCAUCUUAGAGCCAUCUUCAGAGCAAAUAGAAAAGCUACAGGAAAGGAAACUACAUGCUGGUAUCAAAACAAGCUGAUGAGCAAGCAUGUGAAUGUUUUAAAUCCAUACUUCUUGACCGAUGCACGCAUAUUAAGCGUAUAUACAAAUUAAGCGGCAAGUGAACAAUUAGGUGACAGAGAAUGCAUGUAAUAUAUGGAAAUUUAUAGUAACACGAUUUCUAUUUUGAUCUUUUUAAUGUACAGUACUAUACUCAAUCAAGAAUGUUUAUUCCGUAUUAUGGUUGGAAUUAAAAGAAGACUGUAAAAUAAGUAGAAACAGCUGUAAUGGUAGAUCGCGAGGCAAAAUAAUUUACAAAAAAAUACUCAACCUAAAUAAGAAGAUCUUUUUCUUGCUGUCUGUAAGAGCUGAAGAGCAGUAUUGUGGAGGUCAGAACGUAAACUGAUCGAUAAUUUGAGGGACCAAAAAAAAAAGUUUUUUUUUAAGGCUACAUUUGUUUUUGUAUCACUCUGGUGCAUUUACGAUUCUGAAAUAUUGCAUUCGAUUAUUGACAAAAAAAUGUCUAAUGAGUCACCCUCCUAAUUUGAGAGGAUUCCACUCACACCGAUAUCAACUACAACUCCUUACAGAUCAAUCUCUUAUCAAUAUAAAGUAAUGGAAAAAGCCUAGUACAUAGUGAUGCCCCGCACAACCAAACCCUAGAUAAGGAAAAGGAAGUAAAAAGCGUAUACCUAUUUUUUUUUUCAGAAAAUACAUUAAAAGAGUGUGAUCAAAAAGAAGCUAUGCGCAGUUCAUGUGACCUUGACAUAUCAAUUUUCGUCCUUCUCAAUAAUUAAUGAGGUUUAAUUUUGUAGGUGAUUAUAUCAUGGGUCAUAAUAAUAGAUUUAAAAUAAACACAAUUUUAAAAUUACUGUGAUUAGAAGUAUGAUAUAUUCAGGCCAUUUCCUCCUUGACAUUAGUACUGAGUACGUACCGAAAUUUUGCAUCAAAUUCCUUUGGUCUCCUUUUAAUCAGUGUAAAGUUUCCACCUAGAAAAACUGCGGUGUUGCAAGUUCUCGUACUUCUCAAAUCGUCAACCCGAACCUGCAGAUUGUACAACCACACUCUAGAAAGAAGGAUAAGGAGAAAACAAAAUUGGUCGCGCUAACCGAAAUCACGGUAACGCACUUUAAAAAUUUGGCGUGCGGCGCACUAUUUGGCACGCAGCACAUGUUGCUUCAUGAUAUUGAAAAGCCUUUUCUAUUUUCGGAGUGACAAAAUCUUAGCAAAACUGAGAUAGAUAUUCUACUCGUAAAAAGACCAUGAAUAUUAUAUAGUAUAGCUCUCUCUUCCUUUCUCCAAUCCUUUUACAGAUCCGAGUAGCAGUAAUUAUAAAAUCCUUGCAGUAAUAAAAUCAGCCUUGAGCUUUUGGCUUAUUUCCAUUGAGGGGACUGAGACAGUAGACAAGUUCGCUUUUGAAAUAAUUGGUGAACGAUUCAUUAAAACCGUUCUUAGUCAGAUAAUGAGCAAUACCGUUUGAUACAAAGGGAAGAUAUUUAAAUCAAGGCUAGAGGGCUUUCAGGCAUCAUUAUUCAGUUGAGAGGAUAAUUUCAGCAAGGCUCAUUGAACCUUCGGAGGACUCCGAAAUUUUAUC